rnacentral:rRNA from 1 species
GGAACUGAGACACGGUCCAGACACCUACGGGUGGCAGCAGUCGAGAAUCAUUCACAAUGGGGGAAACCCUGAUGGUGUGACGCCGCGUGGGGGAAUGAAGGUCUUCGGAUUGUAAACCCCUGUCAUGUGGGAGCAAAUUAAAAAGAUAGUACCACAAGAGGAAGAGACGGCUAACUCUGUGCCAGCAGCCGCGGUAAUACAGAGGUCUCAAGCGUUGUUCGGAAUCACUGGGCGUAAAGCGUGCGUAGGCUGUUUCGUAAGUCGUGUGUGAAAGGCGCGGGCUCAACCCGCGGACGGCACAUGAUACUGCGAGACUAGAGUAAUGGAGGGGGAACCGGAAUUCUCGGUGUAGCAGUGAAAUGCGUAGAUAUCGAGAGGAACACUCGUGGCGAAGGCGGGUUCCUGGACAUUAACUGACGCUGAGGCACGAAGGCCAGGGGAGCGAAAGGGAUUAGAUACCCCUGUAGUCCUGGCAGUAAACGGUGCACGCUUGGUGUGCGGGGAAUCGACCCCCUGCGUGCCGGAGCUAACGCGUUAAGCGUGCCGCCUGGGGAGUACGGUCGCAAGAUUAAAACUCAAAGAAAUUGACGGGGACCCGCACAAGCGGUGGAGUAUGUGGCUUAAUUCGAUGCAACGCGAAGAACCUUACCUGGGCUUGACAUGUAAUGAACAACAUGUGAAAGCAUGCGACUCUUCGGAGGCGUUACACAGGUGCUGCAUGGCCGUCGUCAGCUCGUGUCGUGAGAUGUUUGGUUAAGUCCAGCAACGAGCGCAACCCCUGUUGCCAGUUACCAGCACGUGAAGGUGGGGACUCUGGCGAGACUGCCCAGAUCAACUGGGAGGAAGGUGGGGACGACGUCAGGUCAGUAUGGCCCUUAUGCCCAGGGCUGCACACGUACUACAAUGCCCAGUACAGAGGGGGCCGAAGCCGCGAGGCGGAGGAAAUCCUGAAAACUGGGCCCAGUUCGGACUGUAGGCUGCAACCCGCCUACACGAAGCCGGAAUCGCUAGUAAUGGCGCAUCAGCUACGGCGCCGUGAAUACGUUCCCGGGUCUUGUACACACCGCCCGUCACAUCAUGGAAGCCGGUCGCACCCGAAGUAUCUGAAGCCAACCGCAAGGAGGCAGGGUCCUAAGGUGAGACUGGUAACUGGGAUGAAGUCGUAACAAGGUAGCCGUAGGGGAACCUGCGGCUG